AGUGUCCUCAGAGCUCCGGGAGUUGGCAAAGCUGAUGAAGGAGCAGUAGACAGCGACCCAAGCGCACCACUUCAGCUGGAAGAGAUCUGGUGGCAGCGACAGGAUCCAAAGUGAACCUGACAGCAUUCGGGGACAACGAGAAACAUAAGCAUGGUACCCAUGAACCCCUUUUUGAGUCCACUGUCUUUCUCACUGUUUCGGGGGGCCAUGGCAGGUUAACCUCCUAUGAGAUCCUUCUGCUUCCACUACCUACUCAACAUCUUAAAUGCUGCAACGUCCUUAACCCUGCUACAUCACGACCCCUGCCUGACAAAGGUUAAAGAAGUCUUCCAAGAUCCCGGUUCAAAGGAUUCUGUUGGUCACAGUCUGGAGCCUGGUGACUGGGUAUUAUGGAAAUGUCAUCAGAGGAAGACAGCCCUCAAGCCCAUUGGAAGGGAGCUCACCAAGUGCUCCUAACCACUGACACUGCUGCGAAACUAGAAGGCAUUGAGCCUUGGGUACACAUCUCACAGCUAAGGAAGGCUCCACCAGACAUCUAGUCCUGUACAGACGCUGGAGACCUCUGAAUCUAACUGAUGAGGAAGAAAAGCAGCUGACAUCAAGGUGGACUGCUUCUGUCCCAGACGCCAGCUAUAGACCAUACUUUAACUAAACGUGAAACCCUUCCCCCUUUUUCUUUUCUCUACUCUGGUAUUGACCUGGAAAGAUGUUUUCACCCUUCUCUCCCAGGCCACUGCUAAGGGAGGUAAGCUUUCAGACUGAUGGAUUUGUCAACAAAGAUUCCAAUCUAUCCAUGACACUAGAGACCCCCUGGUCCUUCCUGUGACCAAUUUCUCUUCUAUUCUCAAAGUCACAGCAAACUACAAUCGAACCCCCUAAAAAUUUCUUACGCAGUUCAACUUGUACAGCCUGAACAACCUAUGCCUUGUUGUUUCCUUUCUCCCACCGUAACUUACAUACUCAGUUAGACACAAUUACCUAGUAAAUCUCAGUGCAUUUGCACCCCCAUGUUCCCAUGAUAAUCUAGAUCAGAUUUGCCCCCAAUCACUAAGAGAUCUCACCAGCAGCAACCAUCUUUGCAAGGCAGUUAGAACAACACUUUACUUCAGGAUGGGAGAUUCUCUUCCCGUACAUGCUGAAAACCUAACUGACACCUGGUUGGAAUGGGUAAACGCAGUAAUUCCUGUGACUGAAUCCAUUAACAGUACCUACUUAACAGGAACGGUUUGUGUCCCCAUAGGGUCUGUCUUUGUCCAUGGUGGUUAUCAUUCUCUUUGGGCCUCUGAAUGCCUAGAUAGCCAGUGCACAGGGGGCAAUACCUCUUAGGUUAUGUAACUGGGCCCCUAACAUUCCACAAGGGAACUAAGACACCUCAUUGGUCAAAUCCCCUGGAUUUACAUCAUCAAGUUAAAAAUAACGAUGAGCGGGACUUCCCUGGUGGUCCAGUCGCUAAGACUCCACGCUCGCAAGACAGGGGGCCCGGGUUCGAUCCCUGGUCAGGGAACUAGAUCCCACAUGCCACAUGCUACAAGGAAGAUCCCACAUGCCGCAACUAAGACCCACCGCAGCCAAAUAAGUAAAUAAAUAAAUAUUUUUUUAAAAAUAACGAUGAGGAUUUCAUGACUCAGGAUUCAUUUCCUUCGGCAGGGCCAUCAGCCCAAGAAAGAUCCUUAGAUUCUCUGGCCAAAGUUGUUCUUUAUAAUAAAAUAGCCCUUAUCUUUUAGCUGAGCAAGGAGUGUCUAUGCUGUGGUCAAUACCACCUGCUGCACCUCGAUUAACCCUUCUGGAUUAGUCGAAACUCUAUUAUAUAAAAUCACUGAGCAAGCCAGUUGGCUUAAGGUGACUCCUUCAACGGGAACUUUCUUUUUUUAGCAGGGAUCGAACCCAUGCCUGCUGCAUUGGAAGCAUGGAGUCCUAACCACUGGACCCCCAGGGAAUUCCCAAUGGGAACUUUCUUUGACGUAUUUGAUUUUGCCUGAUUUGGAUCCUGGGGACCAUGGCUCCGAAGUGCACUCCAAACAUUGUGAAUUAUCCUGUUUAUUAUAAUAAUCUCCCUGGUGCACUUAAUCUCUCAAAAGCUUUAAAUGGGCCUUCCCUGGUGGCGCAGUGGUUGCGCGUCCGCCUGCCGAUGCAGGGGAACCG